CAAAUAGACGUGGCUAAGAAGCAGAUGUUCCUUCUCGACCCACCCUCUUUUUCCCCAUCUGUAAUGGCUUUGAAGGUAUGUGCUGAAGUGGACCAAGUGACAAAAUGGAAGGAACCCGGAUCCCUGAAUCACCAUGGUGAAAGCCACCCACCAAACAUCCACACUAGACGGCUGUGCAAAUGAGGAAACUGAGGCACAGAAAGACUCUAUGACCUGCCCAAUGCCACUUAGCUGGAGCUGCUUAACAGGCUCGACUAUAACCCAGCACGUGAAAUGUACAAUAACAUCCGGAUGUGGCACCAGGCCCCGCUUCUACCACACUCCAGCAAAAAUAAACCUCUCCAUCCAAAUAUA